rnacentral:lncRNA from 1 species
AGCUAACUGGAUUUAGAGUUUGGAGUUAAAGGACCUGUAUUGAAGUAUCAACUCUCCCAUUAACUACCCAGCUUAAUUGUGGUGGUGGCAGGCCUUACAGCAGUAUAUUGACAGCAGAGGGGAUCCACUGAGCCACCAUUCCAGAUGUCACCAUCAUGCUCACAGAAGAUAAACUAGGAACAAGAAAUGGAAUCUGCAAAGAGGCAAAUAUAGGCUUAAAAAUGUUGGCAAUAAGAAUGGAGAAGAGACAUGAAUAAGAAAAACAGUAAGUUUUAGUGUUUCAUGAAAGUGAAGGAGGAAUUCAAGUUCUUGGUCUCCAAAAACUUCUUAUCAAAGUUGAGAGAAUAGCAAAAUGGUAAAGUGGUUAGUAGAGGAAGUGGAGUAGAAUAUUAGGUAUGUGGAUCUUCCUGAGAGACUUUCCAAGAGAGCUACAGAGUGAGACCAGCUCUAUGAAUAUCAUGACAUGGCACUGGAAUCCCAGGAACUGAGCAGAGGAGAUCCAAACUCUACUCAGAUAGUCACCAUUAUCUCUGCUAGCAUUUCUCUAGAAAAACAAA